rnacentral:rRNA from 1 species
GGAUUAGAUACCCUGGUAGUCCACGCCGUAAACGAUGUCUACUAGCCGUUGGGAUCCUUGAGAUCUUAGUGGCGCAGCUAACGCACUAAGUAGACCGCCUGGGGAGUACGGUCGCAAGAUUAAAACUCAAAUGAAUUGACGGGGGCCCGCACAAGCGGUGGAGCAUGUGGUUUAAUUCGAAGCAACGCGAAGAACCUUACCAGGUCUUGACAUCCUAGAAACUUAGCAGAGAUGCUUUGGUGCCUUCGGGAAUCUAGUGACAGGUGCUGCAUGGCUGUCGUCAGCUCGUGCCG